CCAACACUGUACAGCCAACAUUUUGGGGGAGCAAGCCACUGCAUAGGUGGCUGGAGUGGCCAGGCCUUGCCCUGAACCCUCCAGCCCAGCUUCCCAUCCCCUUGUUGGCCCUCAGCCUGAAGCUGGCUCUGGUGAGGAAGCAGGUCCUCUCGACCCUGUAUCUGAAUCAUCUCUGUGCCUCUGUGUCUCUGGUCCCACAUGGAAUGAAUGGGUCUUCAGGGAGGCUGUGCUACAAGUUAUUCUACCUGACCUGACCCUGGAGACCAGCUCACCAGGGGAGGAAGUUGGCAGGCAGAGGCAAGAGUGCACAGGUGGUGAUGGUGGGAGAAGUGGCUGGUUCUGUCCUCCACACCCCUUCGCCCCAGCACCUCAGGAGGACGGUGUAGGCGGUGCCCGAGGGUGCAAAUGAGGCUCCUGCCCUGCCAUCUUCCGAAUGAAGUUUUAAAGUUCUCUUUUAGAACUGCUGGAGGCACCUGUGAACCUUCGUGCCAUGUGUACAGCCUCCUGUCCUGUGGAUUUAUUUGGCAGGAAUGACACACCAACAGAUGAAAUGUAUUGGGAUGAACUAUCACGCCACGGAAGAGCAGCACCCGUCUUCCACACACGUCUGCUUUGUGGAAACCUGUGGAACUCGGUCAGAGUGAAGCAGUGCACGGACACCAACAUGCAGUUUGGGGCUUCCGAGGUCCCUUGGGGACCCUCGUUUCUUUGGCCAGCCCAUCCCACCAUGCCCAUUUUCUCAUCAUCCCUGCUUCCCCCCACCCUGUUCUCACUCCAGUUCUUCCCAGAGUGCCCUGUGUCCUCCCUUGAUUCUAAAGCUCGGGGCUCCUUGAAGCCAUCUCCCAGGCGAGCAGACUCCCUGCAUGCCAACCUUCCUCCACUUCCUGCCAGGGCCCUCCCCUGAGGGCACCCAUCAGGGAGCCACUGCCGCCAGACCAGACGCCUCCAUGAGCAGAGGCCCCUGCCCCCUAGGGCUCCUGUUGUCCAGCCAACCGGCUGCCCUCUGCCCCUCCUAAGAAGGGACAAGAGAAAGCAGGGCUGGGUGUCAUGUUGAUAGGUCCUGGGAGAUGAUGAGACCCACCAGGGAAAGGCCCGUGCCUGCCUGGCUCACCGCAGGGGCGAGGCUAAUCAACAGUAUUUCCCAAAUGAAUGAGCGGUGAGUGAUGCGCGAGUGAAAUGUCAUCAUCUGGGCAUUCCCCCUUUCUCGGUGACGCUGUGGGCAUGUGACCUCUGGAUUGAGUGUCGCCGUGGACACAUCCACCACUGCCUUUAAGCUCCGGGAUCUCCCUCAUUCCGAGGACCUUCCCUUUUUUGUCCUCCCAGCUGCCCCCUCCUGUGGCCGCACCUGCUCCUUGUCAUCAUCACCUGAAACUACUCCACCUCCGGAAGCUUAAACACCAGUAUCCCACUCCCACCACUGCCUGCGGUUCUUCCCACUGCCUGCCCGACUCCCACUGCGCUUUCUGGGGCCACACACACCCCUGCUCUCCCACUGUCAUCUCUGGACCUCGCUCCUUUACCUGCCAGCCAACUGACUGACCUUCCUUCACCUUUGAUUCCCUCGUGCCCUCUUUCCACAAAUCACACCCACUUUGUUCAGCAAAACCCGAAGCUAAUCCACUUUGUGGCGUGUCUCCUCUGCCUGCCCCUUGGCGGCCAAGCCGCGUGGGGAAGGGCCACCCAGGUGCAGACGGCACCACUCCUGGCGCCGGAGCCCCUUUCCCCAGCCAAGUCUUCAGGCCAGGCCAGGUGCUCCUCUCAGGGGCCGCACCUGCUCGCGGGGAUGAGAGAAACAGACAAGCAGUGGUCAAGGCGAUCGAGCCAGUUCAGCGCUGCUGUUCGGCUGGUGGCCCUUCCUUGGGCUCUGCAGCCUCCAUUCUCUGAUGACCUCGCUCCUACUCCAAGAAGAGUGAGACCCCCCAGAGUCACAUCCCUUCUAACUUGGCCAAUCUAUGACUCGGUCAUCCUACGUAUCCCUUGCCCCCUUGGCCACUUUUUCUCAUCUCAGAAGAUGGGUCCGUCUUGCUCUCCAGGGCCGGCACCACCACGCCUGCCACCGAGUCCUCCCCACCUUCCCACCUGUAACCUCACACCUUUCCUUGUCUUCACACUGUCAUUCUGCUGAUUGUUCCCCUUGGCCUGCAAACAAACGCCAUCUCCUCCUGUCCUGACACUGGCCCCUGGGUCCCUGAGUUCCCCCUUGCAGGGAGCCCUCAGGCCCUGUCUUCCUUCCUCCCUGCUGUGCACACAGGAGGUGUGGGCCUGACAGUGGGGGGCUGGGGAGCCUGUGUGCUUGUGUGUGUGCUCCCUGCUGGUGACAACAGGGGACACCACAGGCAGGGCCACCAACCUCAGGAAGCUUACAUUCUAUAUAGAAGACAGGUGCAUAUGCAAGUAAACAGGUAAAUAAAAAUGAGAAAUUCA